CCGAGCCACUAACGAAGGCUUGUAACCCGAGUGGGGGCUUUAAAGUGAUUGAACAUUGGGCUAGCGUAUCCAGCUGGGCCGAAGUUGGCUGAUUGCUGGCUUGCCCAUUCCAAGUGUGGAGUUGGGCUAUGUGGCUCGGGCGUAGGCUCGGGCCACGUAGCUCCUAAAUUGAAGGGCAAUGCGUAAGGCUGGCUUCACAGAGCAACGAAAACCUUCAGCUUCGGACAGUGGAAGGAUAACGGGCCGGUUGCCAUCUUGGCCCAUUAAAGCUCGAUGGGCUAGCUCUUAAUUGAACAAUCAUUUUUUUUUCUUUUUUUUUUAAAUUAUAUAUUUUCUUUUUAUGCAUUAUUUAUUAAUCUCGAUUAUAUAAAUAAAUAAUAUAAUAUGUAAUAUUCUUUUUUUUUUCAAAUUAUCUAUUAUCUUUUUAUGCAUUAUUUAUUAAUCUCGAUUAUAUAAAUAAAUGAUAUAAUAAUAUGUAAUGUUCUUUUUUUUCAAAUUAUCUUUUUUAUGCAUUACUAAUCUCGAUUUAUAUAAAUAAUAAAUGGUAAAAUAUGUGCAAAAAAUCGAGCUACUCGACAGUCUUGAUUGCUUAUAAAAACCAAGUUCAAACAACACAACUUACGAAGCUCGAUGAAAACUUCAGCAAAGACCGAACAAUCAUGCACUCGACUCAAUUCGACGUGUACUUAAACGAUAAAAAAAAAUCCAUAAUUUGUCAUCUCGUCGAUAGUUUCUUGAGCUUUAACUAUCUGCCUCGUUUUGCACCAACUAUGCACUAACACACUGAAAGUCUGCGAAUUUGGAGGAAUGUGAUUCUUGAACUCGAAAUAGACUCGUUCUGCAUGCUCGACGCUUCCUUGCUUCACUAAUGCAUCCAUCAAUCUAUUCAUGCUUGUUAUAUCUCUACUUAAUCCAAAUAGUUCGAUUUUUAAAAAACGCCUCGAUGGCAUCUUCGUAAUUACGCGCCCUUGCAAGACGCGUCGUGAUUUUAAUCAUUGUGUCCAAAGUGAUGUACACCUUCCAUUUCUUUCAUUUCUUCCACCAAUCCCCACAUGAUUUCGAAUUUCUUCAUCUUGCCCAAAUUGUCGACCAUUAAAUUGUAUACUAUCGGGCGAAUGUGCAACCCCGUUUUUCGACUCGGCCCAUUUGAAGAACCCGAAAGCUGGUAUCCACUCACAGCUGAAUCUUUACAGUACUUGCUCAACUAAACUAUCGCACACGUCAACAGUAAAACCAUCUAAUGCUUUCACUACAGAAUCGGUGGAAUCGCAUUGAUUCUUUAGAAUAUUGCAGGUCUUAUUUGAAUAUGUCGGAAUCUUGAACACGAAUCUCGUGAUUCUAGAUCCAAUACGAUGAUAUUGACGGAGGGAGAAAAUCAUCAUCGUUAACGUUGAGUUGCUUGGAAACAGAGAACACCGUUUUGUGCAAUAGUGCACCAAGUCCGACACUAUAGUUACGACAAUCUUGUUUAAUACUAUUCGAAUAAAAUCGAGGACAGCAUUCUCUAUUAUCCUGAUAAAACAUAAAAGGCGAAAGAAAUAACGAACAAGCAGCAAAACUCGGGCAUGUACAAUAUAAUGUAUUGAUGGAGGCACAAAAUCAUCCAAAUAGAUGAUACAGGGAAGAAAAGUAAAUAGAUAUAUAAUGUCAUUUGCGCAUUUCAUCAAACAGGUAACAUGCAUAUGUAAUGAAUGCCAGCUCAAACAAUAUAGAUUUCCUCUCAGUGACAACUUUCUCAAGAUUAAAAAUGGAGAAAUGCAACAUAAUUAAUAUAUACUGACUAAUUCUUGUGACAAAAGAGGCAACUGAUCAGUUAAUUAACAAUGUUCCAGCUCAAACAAUAUUAAAGAAUUUCUGAUGUCAAUUUAUUAUCUUCUUGUAAUUUUUUUGAAAAUUUUCAAUUUUAUGUCCCACAUCGAUAGAAAACCAAUGUUAUGACUUGUAUAUAAUCUUCCAUUCAGUAAGUAUUGUUCGCCGAGCCGUUAACGAAGGCUUGUAACCCAAGUGGGGGCUAUGAAGUGGUUGAACAUUGGGCUAGCUUAUCCAGCUGGGCCGAAGCUGGCUAAUUGCUGGCCUGCCCAUUCCAAGUGUGGAGUUGAGCUAUGUGGUUCGGGCGUAGGCUCGGGCCACGUGGCUCCUAAAUUGAAGGGCAAAGCGCAAGGCUGGCUUCACAGAGCAACGAAAACCUUCAGCUCCGGACAGUGGAAGGAUAACGAGCCGGUUGCCAUCUUGGCCCAUUAAAGCUUGAUGGGCUAGCUCUAAUUGAACAACCAUUUUU
rnacentral:lncRNA from 1 species